rnacentral:rRNA from 1 species
CUUGUUGGUGGGGUGAUGGCCUACCAAGGCGACGACGGGUAGCCGGCCUGAGAGGGUGUCCGGCCACACUGGGACUGAGAUACGGCCCAGACUCCUACGGGAGGCAGCAGUGGGGAAUAUUGCACAAUGGGCGCAAGCCUGAUGCAGCGACGCCGCGUGGGGGAUGACGGCCUUCGGGUUGUAAACCUCUUUCACCAUCGACGAAGGCCUGGUUUUUGCUGGGUUGACGGUAGGUGGAGAAGAAGCACCGGCCAACUACGUGCCAGCAGCCGCGGUAAUACGUAGGGUGCGAGCGUUGUCCGGAAUUACUGGGCGUAAAGAGCUCGUAGGUGGUUUGUCGCGUUGUUCGUGAAAUGCCACAGCUUAACUGUGGGCGUGCGGGCGAUACGGGCAGACUGGAGUACUGCAGGGGAGACUGGAAUUCCUGGUGUAGCGGUGGAAUGCGCAGAUAUCAGGAGGAACACCGGUGGCGAAGGCGGGUCUCUGGGCAGUAACUGACGCUGAGGAGCGAAAGCGUGGGGAGCGAACAGGAUUAGAUACCCUGGUAGUCCACGCCGUAAACGGUGGGUACUAGGUGUGGGUUUCCUUCCUUGGGAUCCGUGCCGUAGCUAACGCAUUAAGUACCCCGCCUGGGGAGUACGGCCGCAAGGCUAAAACUCAAAGGAAUUGACG